rnacentral:rRNA from 1 species
GAUGAACGCUGGCGGCGUGCCUAAUACAUGCGAGUCGAGCGAACAGACGAGGAGCUUGCUCCUCUGACGUUAGCGGCGGACGGGUGAGUAACACGUGGAUAACCUACCUAUAAGACUGGGAUAACUUCGGGAAACCGGAGCUAAUACCGGAUAAUAUAUUGAACCGCAUGGUUCAAUAGUGAAAGACGGUUUUGCUGUCACUUAUAGAUGGAUCCGCGCCGCAUUAGCUAGUUGGUAAGGUAACGGCUUACCAAGGCAACGAUGCGUAGCCGACCUGAGAGGGUGAUCGGCCACACUGGAACUGAGACACGGUCCAGACUCCUACGGGAGGCAGCAGUAGGGAAUCUUCCGCAAUGGGCGAAAGCCUGACGGAGCAACGCCGCGUGAGUGAUGAAGGUCUUCGGAUCGUAAAACUCUGUUAUUAGGGAAGAACAAAUGUGUAAGUAACUAUGCACGUCUUGACGCUACCUAAUCAGAAAGCCACGGCUAACUACGUG